rnacentral:lncRNA from 1 species
AUCUUUCUCUCUUUUCUCUAUUUUCUUUUCUUUCCCAUUUUUCCAUUUUUCAAGUGAGUUGUGCAAGGAUUUGAUAGCAGCCCUUUCAGCCAUUUUUGGCUUAAUUGUUAUGGCAAGGAGUGAAGCACAAAGGAGGAGCAAGGAAGUUAUGCCACAAAGAACCACAUGCAACGACUAUGCAUUUCUUUCCCUUUACUCUUUUAAUUUCUUGUCGUUCAAUUUAAGAAAAAUGUUUGCAACUAAAGUUUAUGUUUUUAAUAUAAUUAUGGUUGCUUAAUUCCUUCGGUGUUAGAAUAAUUUAAUUUCCAUAACUUAGAUUAUUUAUGUUGUUAGUGAUGUUAUAUGCCUCGACUGUUUAUGCAUUUAGAUAAAAUUAUAACUAUGUUCAUGCAUUAUAAAUGUGGAGAAUGCAACUGAAUUAAUUAUUAAAUCCUAAUCGUAUUGUAAUUAAUUGACACAAUGUUUGAAUGGUGCAUGUUUAAUCUAUAUUUAAGAGAAUUAGGUUAAAGUUUGUAAUAAUUUGAGAGAACCUUAUUACAUUGCAUAAUCUUAGGAUUCAUGUGAUUAAACUGUUUCAGCGUAGAAAUAUUACUGUUACCUCACAUUAAUUUGUUUUUCUGCUUAUUAAAUUUAUUAAGUGGUUGACAUGGACAUAUGUUAUACUUAAUAAUUUAAUAAGUUGAAUUCUUAGGCGAUUCUUGAAAAUGUAACCUUGAAGUCGUAACAGAUAUAGACAUAUGCUGACAAGAGAUUAAACUUCGGACUUUGAGAGAAGCCAAAGUACUUGUAACUAAAAUAGGAUUAAUAACUACCAAGUUGCCAUGGGAUUUCCCGUAACAUCAUUAGCAGUAUUUAAAUAUUUCUAAGUUAGGAAGGAGAAUCAUUCUGACACAUGCAUGAUAUUAUGAUUUCUCUAAAAGACUUGUAUACUCAUUCCUCCAUUUAUUUAAUUUAAUUUUAAGUAUAUUUAGGUUAGUUGAAUUUAAUCAAACCCAUCACUUAAAUUUAUUUUCAUCACCAACCAGUUUGCUAAUAAUUAAUUUUGCAAUACUUGAUUCACAUAGUCAAUCUCUAUGGAGACGAUACCCAAUAUACUUACCACUUUAUUACUUGUCAAUUGUUAUACACACUUACACAUCAAUCGAAUCACCUAGAGAUAGUUAUGCAACUUAGAUUAUAUAUAAAUUGUAAGCUUUGAUAGUCCCACAAUUAUGAUAUUCAAUACAAUACUCAUGAGUUCUAUCUCUCAAAUAUUUAUUUUUUGUUGUAUUUGUAAUAGGCCAAUUUCGCCCGGGCCCAAGACCAUACAAAAAAUAAAAACCAAAAAAAAAGUCUAUUUACAACAAACCCAACAGGCCCAAAUUACUAAACUCAAUUCAAGCCCAACAGCCUAAAACCUAACCCUAGCCCACAACGUUUUCAGGAAACAAAAAUCAAACUCUAGCCUCUAGCGCCGCACCCUUCCCAUGCGCGCCAGCCUCCAACCACCACGUCAGCACCCCCGUACCCUCCACGCUCCCUUUGCCACCACAGCAUGCGUCAUUGCUCCGUACCUGCAGACCAAGCAAAAGAGAGCACAACAACAAAGAGAAACGUUGUAUUUUUCAGCUAUAAAAGCCAUGAACAAAUCAAUGUAAAUUUUUGGACGGAGAAUGAAUACAAAAAAAAAACAAUCAAAAACAGAAAAUUUUGGAGAGGUAGUUUCUUUAUUCUUUUUUUUUUUAUUUUGUUUGUUUUAUUUUAUUAUUUUUUUAAAGAAGGAAACAAAAAAUAAAAUAAAAGAGCCGAAAGCUUACCUUUUUUCACAUUUUACGCCGUCGUGGGAGGUCGAGGUUCGACAUUUCCGAUGACAAAUGACAUUUUUAGGUUCGGGGAGUCAAAAAGCCAAAAAAAAGUGGCCUUUUUUAUUUUUCAGCCACCGUGGGCGGCGACACUGUCGCCGGCGACCGGCGGCGGCCACGGUGGUCCGACGGCUAGAGCCAUGGCUGGUCAAGGAGAAGGCUGAGAGAGGUUGAGGGAGUUUUUUUUUUUUUGAAAGAGGAAUAAAAUGAAAAUUUUGAAUUUUUUUAACUUAAAUAGGCCCUACAAAACGGUGCCGUUUUGGGCCAAUGCACAGACGCCAAAACGGCGUCGUUCCGGCCUAACCCGAAAUCUGACCUGCUCUAAGUUAAGGAUCCGCGUGUUUUUUAAACGGAAGGGAUAUUUACUUGUUCAGUCCUUCCGCUUCUUCGGCCCGUUUCAAUUAGAUUUUUUCUGUUCUUUUGUCUUUUGAUUUUGCCCUAUAAUUUUGCUUUUAUUGCAUUUUAACCUCGUAUAAAGUGUUGCGUUUUGGAGGGCGGGAAUAUUUUCCCUUUUGGUCCCUCUAUAUUAUUUGUGCUUUUCAAUGUGACAUUUACCUCAUUUUUUAUUUCAAUUUAUGCCCCUUAAAUUCCAUUCGAGUUUCAAUCUAGUGCUUUUUGAGUUUAUUCAUUUAUUUUAUUAUAAUUUAGGCCCAAAAUUUCAUUUUAAUUCCAAUUUAAUCCUUUAUUUGCUUAAUUUCAAACUCUUAUUCUUUUAUAUGUACACUGUUCUUGCUUUAUUUUAUUUAUUUACUUUUACAUUCAUUCAUUCAUUCAUUUUUAUCCUAGUAUUCACUUAUUAUUCUUCCAUUUUUUAUGUUUUCUUUCAUUAGUUAUUCAUUUUAUUUAUGCCUUCAUUAUUAUUGGUAUUUUGUCAUCUAUUAUUAUUUCAUUAUUAUCUAUUCAUCUAUUUGUUUAGUAUCCUUUUUUAUACCUUUAAAAUUAGAUUUUUUUACUUGUACAUAUAUUAUUAUUAUUUCAUUUAUUUACAUAUUUUAUUCCAAAUUGUAUCUUUAAAUUUCAUUUAUAUUUUAAUUCGGUUCUUUAUUUUCAAUACUUUUAUAAACUAUUUUCUUUUACAUUAUUUAUGUGUUUUUUUUUAAGUUGGUAUUAUCCUUUUAUGUGCAUGCUUUGGUAUUAUUACCAUUGUUAUUAUUUAUUUUAUUUAUCUUAUGAUUGUUCAUAUUAAUGUUAAAAUAGUGUACAUUAUAUGAUUCUCGUAAAUUGUCUUUAUUAUUAUAUUCAUUAUUGUCAUUUAUGAAGACAACAUUUCAUUCAUGUAUUAUUUUAAAUAUUACACAUUUUUUUACUCAAAUUUGUAAAAAAUAUAAAAAUUAGAAAAUAAGCAAUAUUUCGUAUUUUAGAAUUUGAAAAGUCAUUCACUAACUUACGGGGUUUCGAUUUUUUCCGAUAAAUCCAAAUAUACGAACCAUUUUUCAAAAACACAUUUUCAAAAUUCUCUCGGGAAUUAAAAAAGAUUGUUUUCUAACUUACGGAAUAUUAUUUCUUUUCUAAAACUGAGAUAAUCAAAAAUUUCUAAAAAUAAAUAAAAUUUUCAGUGUUUAUUCUCGUUUCGGGAUUUAAGAUUAUAUCCUAACUCACGGGGUAUAAUUCUUUCUCUCGAUUGACGUGAAAUACGCCCAUUUUAAAUUCUUUUAGAUAAUUUUAACAAAAGGAUCGUGUUUUAAGUCUCAUCAAAAUUUUCAACUUUCGACAUUAAGACAUUAAUUAAUCAAUUAGGUGUCAAUUUUGGGCGUGACGAUGGUACUAAUCCUUCCUCGCAUGUAACCGACUCCCGAAUCUGUUUUUCUCGAAUUUCGUAGACCAAAAUCAUUGUUUUAGUAAAAUCGAAACGUUUUAUUAAAACAAUUGAAUUGCAAAGUGAUCCGAUCUCACCUCAAAAAAAAUAUCGGUGGCGACUCCCGUUUUUUUCGUUUUUAUUUUCAAAAUAAAAGUCGACCCCUCUUUUCAAAAAAAACUAGUUUCGACAGUAUUCUCAGUAGCUAAAUAGGCUACUUUGGCUUUUCCACAUUAUGAUGAUUUUAUAAUAUAAUGUGUAAUUUCAUUAUGGUCUCUUUUUUAAGUAAUAUAAGAUUCAGGACAAAAUUUGAAUUUGAGGACAGAAUUACCCUCUCUUUUUAUUGUAUUUAUCAUUAUAAUUAUUUGUAUUAUAUUUAAAAAAAAAGUUGUGCGUUGUUCCCUUUCAUUUUGGUUUUUCACUUUUAAUUCAAGUUCCUUUUCUUUCUCUUGUAGUUUCUCCAAUUUUUUAUCUAAUGCCUGCUCUCAUUUAAAAAUAUUUUCUUGCAUGUGUUUUACUUCAGCUUCCUUCUUCUAAACUUCAAUCACCUUGCUUUUCACAUCUGCAUCUAAGGAUUUAAAAAAACAAAGGCCACGUUUGGUUCGCUG